ACGGCUCAGUAACACGUAGCUAACCUAACCUCAAGACGGAAAUAACCCCGGGAAACUGGGGUCAAUGUCCGAUAGAUGUGAAUUCCUGGAAUGGUAUCACAUCCAAACGUCAGUGCACCAUGUUGUACGAACGCUUGAGGAUGGGGCUUGCGGCCGAUCAGGCUGUUGGUGGGGUAAUGGCCCACCAAACCUUUGACCGGUAUGGGCCAUGAGAGUGGCAGCCCAGAGAUGGACACUGAGACAAGGGUCCAGGCCCUACGGGGCGCAGCCGGUACGAAACCUCCACAAUGCACGCAAGUGCGAUGGGGUUAUCUCGAGUGCUACCUGAAGAAGGUAGCUUUUCCAUGGUCUAAAUAGCCGUGGGAAUAAGGGGGGGGCAAGACUGGUGUAAGCCGCGCGGUAACACCAGCCCCCCGAGUGGUAGGGAUGUUUAUUUGGCCUAAAGCGUCCGUAGCCGGCUAAGUAAAUUUCUCGUUAAAUCCAACGUCCUAAGCGUUGGGCUGCGAGAAAGACUGCUAAGCUAGAGGGUGGGAGAGGUCAGCUGGUAUUCCUGGGGUAGGGGCGAAAUCCUUUGAACCCAGGAGGACCACCAGUGGCGAAGGCUGCUGACUAGAACACGCCUGACGGCGAGGGACGAAAGCUGGGGUAGCGAAUCGGAUUAGAUACCCGAGUAGUCCCAGCUGUAAACGAUGCAGACUAGGUGUUGGGUUGGCCACGCGCCGACUCAGUGCCACAGGGAAGCCAUUAAGUCUGCCGCCUGGGAAGUACGGCCGCAAGGCUGAAACUUAAAGGAAUUGGCGGGGGAGCAC
rnacentral:rRNA from 1 species